CUGCUGUACACGUCAGGAUAGUGCGACUUUUCGAAGGCUCUUUCCAGUUCGUGCAGCUGAAAUGUGGUGAAUGUUGUUCUGUUUCGCCUGUGCUUUUUCUUCGGAUUCUCUUCAUCGGAAAGCCUACCUUCACCCUCAGCUGCUUCUGGUACUCCUCGUACUCCUCCCGAGUCAUUCCGGCGGCGGCGGCGGGGUCAGCCGGGGCGGCGUCCUCGCUCUUCUCCUCUCCGCCGAGACCCAGGUUCUUCACCUGGUUGCUGACCAUACUCUUCAGGAAGAAAGACAUCGCGCCUCAAGGGUCCACCUCACUUUUAUAUCAAAAAUGUUUUUGGUGAAAAAAAAAAGAAAAACGCCCGUUUUUUCUCUUGCGCCCCUGGAUUGGUGUCCGAGCAGCGAAAACCCAAUGAGAGCCUGUCUAACAAGCCGGCUGCCUGGCUGCGUAGUCAAGGGCACUCUGACAGCAGACAACAGAGGCCAAAAGGAAAAAAAAAAAAAAAAAAAGCAGCAGCAGCAGCUAUGCCACAGUCGUAAUCUGGAUUAAACCUCUAGCUCUAGUGCUCUAGGAGGCAGAUGGUUUAUGUUUGUUUAAAUAGAAACUACAUUUAAUUGUUCCAUAUUGAUUAUCUCUUGACCAAACUUGACCUAUAAAUUUUGUUGACCAACAAA